CAGCAGUAGCCACGGUAAUACGUAGGUGGCAAGCGUUGUCCGGAAUUAUUGGGCGUAAAGCGCGCGCAGGUGGUUUAAUAAGUCUGAUGUGAAAGCCCACGGCUCAACCGUGGAGGGUCAUUGGAAACUGUUAAACUUGAGUGCAGGAGAGAAAAGUGGAAUUCCUAGUGUAGCGGUGAAAUGCGUAGAGAUUAGGAGGAACACCAGUGGCGAAGGCGGCUUUUUGGCCUGUAACUGACACUGAGGCGCGAAAGCGUGGGGAGCAAACAGGAUUAGAUACCCGUGUAGUCCCUGUCUCUUAUAC
rnacentral:rRNA from 1 species